rnacentral:tRNA from 1 species
UCCUCGGUAGUAUAUCGGCUAGUACACCCGCCUGUCAUAACCUGCAUUAGGAACGGUCAACUGUUCGCGGGAGAGCGGGGUUCGACUCCCCGCCGAGGAG